GGCAGCAGUGGGGAAUUUUGGACAAUGGGGGCAACCCUGAUCCAGCCAUGCCGCGUGAGUGAAGAAGGCCUUCGGGUUGUAAAGCUCUUUCGGCGGGGAAGAAAUGGCAACGGCUAAUAUCCGUUGUUGAUGACGGUACCCGCAUAAGAAGCACCGGCUAACUACGUGCCAGCAGCCGCGGUAAUACGUAGGGUGCGAGCGUUAAUCGGAAUUACUGGGCGUAAAGCGUGCGCAGGCGGUUUUGUAAGACAGACGUGAAAUCCCCGGGCUCAACCUGGGAACUGCGUUUGUGACUGCGAGGCUAGAGUACGGCAGAGGGGGGUAGAAUUCCACGUGUAGCAGUGAAAUGCGUAGAGAUGUGGAGGAAUACCGAUGGCGAAGGCAGCCCCCUGGGUUAGUACUGACGCUCAUGCACGAAAGCGUGGGGAGCAAACAGGAUUAGAUACCCUGGUAGUCCACGCCCUAAACGAUGUCAACUAGGUGUUGGAAGGGUUAAACCUUUUAGUACCGCAGCUAACGC
rnacentral:rRNA from 1 species